CCACUGCUUGCCUUCACUCUCUCCCUUGUUCAUGGUCGUUGGGCUGCCGCUGCUCGCCGCCACUUUCCUCUCGCAUCGCUCUGCUACUUCACUACUAAACAACACGACGAAAAUUCGGCGAAAACUCGUGGUUGUUAUCCAAGGCUUUUCUCUCUCUUUUGACUUGAAUUCAUCAGAUAUGGUGGUAAGUAAGAUGCUAAUAAAAAAGAGCAUUUAGAGGGGACUACUAAAAAGCUUAAAACUUUAUAAAGUUAGGCAGUGUUUGAAGAUGAUGGCGAUCUCGGGUGAGGAGUCUAUCAUGAACGAAAAUGCAUGUUUCUCCAAAGAAAAUUGUAUAGUUAACAAAUUGGCUGUUCCAAUUUCUUUUAGAAUGUAUGUAUAGUUAAUUAUUGGGAUCACUUAAGAUUUGGGACUAUGUAUUGAUAAUACAUUUCACUAAACUAUAUGUAAUGAUUAUUAUAGCUAUAAUGGGUAUUUACAUAUUACAUUGAUAAUACACAUAUUUGUUUUUCUGCAGGACUGCAGGUAUUUACAUUAAUUAUCCCUCAAAAACAAUAUAUAUAUAUAUAUAUAUA